AGUACGAAGUUUUAUUUAUCAGUAUAAUUAUACUACUAUAGCGUGUAAAUCCCAACGACACGAGUAUAUUCGAUCGGAAAAAUAUUGCAAAAACGGGUUUAUUUAUAACGAUUUUUUUUUUUUUUAACGAAUGAAAUUUAACCGUAGAAUUCAAUUUUUUGUGCGUUCGAAUUCGUGCGGAUUUGGGGGGAGGGAGAAUCCGGAUUUUAAAGCCGACGGACUUUCGGUAUAUUUCGGAUUAUGAACUUUGACUACUUUGGCCGAUCCAGAUUUGUCGUCACUAUAUAUACCAAAUGUACGGGUGAUGACGCGUUAUAAUAUACGCACACGAAUUCAACAGGUGGACGUCGGAAUACGGGGAAUUAUAAUCGUAUACCGGCGUUGCGAUUUCCGUUCGGCCAAUAAUUGGGGUUAUGUUCGGACGUGCUCGAUUGUUUC